UGAUGGGGCAGGAGCCACGGAGGGUUUACAGGAAGGAGAGGCUGUGUGUCUGGAAAUGGGGUGGGGUGAGCCCCGAGAUCCGGGGCCGGUGCCGGGAAGGCCCCCUGCGGGAGGUGAGCAUUGGGCUGCCGGGCUGGUUGUGUCGCCAAGUGGCACCUGUGACUUAGGGUGUGUGCAGGCUCCGGGCAGGCUCGCUGGCCUGGCACAGACAUCUGCAUCUCUGUUGGGUCCCAGGUGUCAGCUAAUGGUCCUCUCAGACCUUAGUUGGGGGGCAGGGAGAUGGACGGUCCUCUGGGUCCUGGGUCGAGCUGGCCAGAGCUGCUGGCCGCCUGGAGUGUGUGCCUCCACCUUUGCCUGCACCCUGGACCGAUUCCCCAACGGCAUUUGCCAUCCCCCACCCUGCCACGUGCAGAGCCACGAGCCAAAGCAACUUCCCUUCCCUGACACCCCUCAGCCCCCCUCCCACUGACUGGACGUACAUCCUGUCCCUGGCCAGAUGGGCAGGCUCGGGGCCUUGAGUCACGGUGGCCUGGGGUCAGAACCAGGCUCAGCCACAGAGGCUGCCGGAGGUGGUGGAGCUCCCCGAUUUCCCAGGAGAGGCCAUGGGGAGCAGAGUGGCUGCCCGUCCCAGCCCGUGCGCAGGGCCCCAGCACGGGUGCGCAGAGGCCCCUUGGGGCACUUGGGGUUCUGAGUCCUCCCAGCUCAACUCUGCCCAGGCUGGACCACAGGAGCCCGGGGAGCCUCGGAGAGCUCCCGCCCGCCUGCCUUGGGCCUGCUGACCGCGCGCCCGCCCCGCCCGGCCCCAGGGCCCCCGCUCACCGCCUGACUUCCCGUGGCAAGCCCAGGUACGUCACCGCUGGCCGGGCAGUGGGGACAGGUCUGGCUGCCUCCUGGCUUCGCCUGGGCCUGGGCCUGGGGUGGUGCCAGCCGAUGCUGCCUCCUCAGUGUGCUCUGCUGGAGCCUCCGCUGCUGCAGGAAGGGGCUGCGGUGGGGGAGGGGCUGGGCUUUGGGGACAAGAUCACCGGGGAAGCCCCCCACCUGUGUCCACACCCCAACGGACCCUGGUGCUGGGCUGGGUCUUGCAGUUUCAUCUCAGACUCACCUGCUCACCUGGGGUGAUGGGCACAGGGUUUGGUAGGUGGGAGUCGGGGUGCUGGGACAGUACUGGCUGAGGGAGAUGGAACUGAGGGCGUUGGGGUGCUGGGCCCAAUGUGGAGACCCACUCCGACCCCCCACCGCCCUCUCCCCGCCUGAGCCCCAGCGUGAUGAAGGCGUGGAGGGGAGCCCGUGGGAGCCCUGCCCAUCACUGCACCGCCCAGCCCUGGUCCUCGGAGGCCCUGCCCUGGGAGCCGGGCCCCCAUCCCCACCCACCUCUGGCCCAGCAUCUUCAGUACAAGCGCGUAGGUGCAUGUUCUGGGGUGCAAGUCACUGGGUGUCUGGGACCCUGGCUCGGGUCCAGUCCGAGUGUGUGGGGACGAUCCCGGGCUCGGACUUGCAGCCUGGGCUGGUGCAAAGGAAAGUUGGGGCCCUUGGUUCAAAAAUUACCACGAGUUUCACAAAGGAGGUAGUGGAGCUUCAAACCAGUGAGGGCUCCCUGUGGCCAGCUGUCCAUGCCAGGGAGGCGGGCCUGGGAGGGGGAGGAGCAGGGUGCUGCGGGGGCGGGGCUGGUCUCUGGGCCUGGAGGGGGCUGCCCACGUCCAUGGGCCUGCCUUUGGGUCCCCAGUCAUCACCCUGAGUCCAGGGCUCAGGCCCCUCUCUCUCUCUCUUU